rnacentral:piRNA from 1 species
ACAAGUUCAACUUAGUGUUUGUGGCCCUUG